rnacentral:rRNA from 1 species
GAUGAACGCUGGCGGCGUGCCUAAUACAUGCAAGUCGAGCGAACAGAUGAGGAGCUUGCUCCUCUGACGUUAGCGGCGGACGGGUGAGUAACACGUGGAUAACCUACCUAUAAGACUGGGAUAACUUCGGGAAACCGGAGCUAAUACCGGAUAAUAUAUUGAACCGCAUGGUUCAAUAGUGAAAGACGGUUUUGCUGUCACUUAUAGAUGGAUCCGCGCCGCAUUAGCUAGUCGGUAAGGUAACGGCUUACCAAGGCAACGAUGCGUAGCCGACCUGAGAGGGUGAUCGGCCACACUGGAACUGAGACGCGGUCCAGACUCCUACGGGAGGCAGCAGUAGGGAAUCUUCCGCAAUGGGCGAAAGCCUGACGGAGCAACGCCGCGUGAGUGAUGAAGGUCUUCGGAUCGUAAAACUCUGUUAUUAGGGAAGAACAAAUGUGUAAGUAACUAUGCACGUCUUGACGGUACCUAAUCAGAAAGCCACGGCUAACUACGUG